rnacentral:rRNA from 1 species
GGAGGGUGCGAGCGUUGUUCGGAAUCACUGGGCGUAAAGGGCGUGUAGGCGGUCCGCUAAGUCUGAUGUGAAAGCCCGGGGCUCACCCCCGGAAGUGCAUUGGAAACUGGCGGACUCGAGUCCCGGAGAGGAGGGUGGAAUUCCUGGUGUAGCGGUGAAAUGCGUAGAUAUCAGGAGGAACACCGGUGGCGAAGGCGGCCCUCUGGACGGUGACUGACGCUGAGACGCGAAAGCGUGGGGAGCAAACAGGAUUAGAUACCCUGGUAGUCCACGCUGUAAACGAUGAGCACUAGGUGUCGUGGGUAUUGACCCCCGCGGUGCCGCCGCUAACGCAUUAAGUGCUCCGCCUGGGGACUACGGCCGCAAGGUUAAA